GGAUGUGAGGGUGAUCUGGCUGCGACAUCUGUCACCCCAUUGAUCGCCAGGGUUGAUUUGGCUGAUCUGGCUGGCUAGGCGGGUGUCCCCUUCCUUUUUCACCACUCCAUGUAUGUCCUUCCCAAAGCUGCACUUGGUCGAAAAGGACGGCCUUCCCGAAUAGAAUUGGUUUUUGGUCGAGGGUAUACAAGUAGCUACGCUCCCCUGCUAGAACCUCCAAACAAGCUCUCGAGAGAUAGACAGAGUAAGGUCUGAUGGGCCCUAUGUGUAGGAGCUCCUACCUAUUUCUGUGGAAUUAGGGGU
ensembl:misc_RNA 7SK 7SK RNA